GCCGCACCAGUCCUGGACAGAAUUGGUUUCUUCUUAAAAUUCUUCCGAGCAGGAGAAACACGCAACAGGUGAGCGGGAGAAUCCUGAAGUUAGCAGCUUUUGGGAUAGGCCGGAGAGUGGGAUUGGAGGUCAGGGCCCCUAACUCCAAACCCCACGCUGCUUCCUCUGCCCUACCCGUGAACCACAAAGCCUUUGGACAGAGUGGUCGAGGAGUGUGGCCCUGCCUUUUUCCAGAGUUUUGGCCUGAGACUCUAAAAGCAAGGACUCCUAACCUCUGUUACACAUUGGAGCCCUUUAGCAGUGGUGAAGCCUAUGAACCCAUUCUCAUAACCAUAUUUUAAAAUUCAACCAAUUAUAUGGAAAUAAUGAUCAAAAUAUAAAAAAAAUCAAAUUCAUCGGUUCCCCUGAAAUCUAGCCAGACUCUCUAAGGGGUCUGGGAACUCCGCGUUAAACAACCCUGCUCUAAAAGCUGGUUGAGAAAGAAAUCUUUACGUUAUGUGACAGGUAUGGUUGAGCUGGUGAUACUCUUGGCUUCCUGAUUGGUGCAGAUGGCACCCACAUUCCUCCGAGUUGCAAAGAUGAGCAGGAGAAAGAAUUCUUGCUGAGGGGCCAGUCUCUUGACUGGAAUGUUGUGGCCAGCGCCUCAAGGUGCUUCUCUUAUUCUCUGCUCAUUCCUCAGGACUGGAUGCAGGAGGACCUGACAACGUCUUGUUCUCAGUGGUCUUGCCGAAAAAGAUUGUUCCUGGGGUAAACCACUCAAUGCCUUAUUUCUCCCAAUAAAAUAUUAUAUACACA